rnacentral:rRNA from 1 species
UACAUGUGGGGCAAGCGUUGUUCGGAAUUACUGGGCAUAAAGGGUGCGUAGGCGGUUUGGUAAGUCAGUGGUGAAAUCGUCCGGCCCAACCGGACACGUGCCAAUGAUACUGCCGAACUCGAGUGCGUGAGGGGUGGGGGGAACGAGCAGUGUAGCGGUGAAAUGCGUAGAUAUUGCUCGGAAGGCCAAAGCCGAAGGGACCCCACUGGUACGUAACUGACACUGAGGCACGAAAGCGUGGGGAGCAAACAGG